rnacentral:rRNA from 1 species
GAUCAUGGCUCAGGAUGAACGCUAGCUACAGGCUUAACACAUGCAAGUCGAGGGGCAGCAUUUUAGUUUGCUUGCAAACUGAAGAUGGCGACCGGCGCACGGGUGAGUAACACGUAUCCAACCUGCCGAUAACUCCGGAAUAGCCUUUCGAAAGAAAGAUUAAUACCGGAUAGUAUACGAAUAUCGCAUGAUAUUUUUAUUUAAAGAAUUUCGGUUAUCGAUGGGGAUGCGUUCCAUUAGUUUGUUGGG